rnacentral:tRNA from 2 species
GGCCCCUUAGCUCAGCUGGAUAGAGCACCUGCCUUCUAAGCAGGUUGUCGAAGGUUCGAGUCCUUCAGGGGUCGCCA